rnacentral:lncRNA from 1 species
GGCUAGCCCCUCCCCUCCUCCUAUAUAUAUUGGUGGUUUUAGGGCUUUUGAGACACAACUUUGCCACGUGCAACUCAAACCUAUACCUCGUAGUUCUUCCUCUAGAUCGGAUUUCUGCGGAGAUUGGACGGAGCCCUCGAGGAAUAGAUCAUCACCAUCACCAGCGCGCUUGCUGGAUCAAGAAGGCGGAGAUCGUCAUAGACCUGUAUAUGUGUUGAACGCGGAGGUGUCGUCCAUUCGGUGCUAGAUCGGGACAGACCGUGGGACGAUGGUGAUUUGAAUCAUGAAGUUGUACCACUACAUACAUCGCGUUUCUUAAACGCUUCCUGCUUAGCGAUCUACAAGGGUAUGUGGAUCCGAUCUCCCUCUCGUAGAUGAACAUCACCAUGAUAGGUCUUCGUGUGCGUAGGAUUUUUUUCCCAUGCAACAUUCCCCAACAUGUCGUGCCAUAGAAAUCGCUAAACCAAGUCCGAGAGGUUAUUGACCAUGCCGGAACACGAUCAACUUGACCACGAGGGUCUGUUUCCUGCAUGCAAACAAAGAACAAGCAAGAAAUUAAGAUUGCAACCUGGAUAUUGUGAAUAUAAGAGGAAAUCUUUAUUGAUGAAGUGGGGUUCUGUGACGCCUUUUUCUGGUCGUGGAACACAAACGAAGAAAGCGAAGUUGCAGCUAUGGCGAGCUUGUAAUCUAAACAAAACUCAAGUCUAAACGGCGCCCUAAGGGUUGUAUAUAUGGAGGAAUAGAGAAGGAAUUUCAUGACCCCUUGGAGAAGGGGUCCGAAACCGACCCUAACUCGUUUCCCCACACAUACAGACUCUAAAAAUAGCCUAUAAUAUGGUAUUUCAAAAUUACAUGGGCCUGGCCCAAAAAUAAGGUGGCGCAUCACCUGUAAUAGCCUAUGGAUGAAAUUUAUAAAGUGACGUCUUGAAUAUUUCGUCCAAGCCUUUAUGCUCUCCUUAUGGUGGCUUCAUAGUGCAGAAAUCACCAGCGAAAUCUCCAUUGUUCUUUCCCGCGCGUGCACCUUCUUCUCCAUGCUUGAUCCCGCUCCAAUGGAUAUCCUUCUUGUCCAUGCUAGGUCCUUCAUUCAUAAGUACAACAAAAGUGUCUAACUUAGGCAUCAUCAUAUGUUCAUGAACAUUAGAAGGAUUUCCAAGAAACAAAAGUACCUGGUAAUUCAAUUGGCGUGCGCGAGCUCUAGUAACUGGUCCAGUAUGUAUAACAGCUGGGGGUGUGGGUGUAACAAUGGUUUUGAUUUCCUCGUCAUAGGUAAGAGCUCCACAUACUCAAUUAUCAUAUAGUCUUCUAUGCUUGCUAAUAAUCAAAGCAUAUUUUUAGAAUAAACAACAUCCAUCGAACACAAAGAAAGAUAGGGGCUUAAUGUUUUGCCUCCAAUCAUACUUAUCAUCAAGAUAAUUGACAACAAUAAUGAAUCUUGGUCAAAUAUUUUGACUCGAUAUGUAUGCUUGGAUCUUUUUCCACCACAUGAUGCUUGCCAACUAAUAGAUUGAGGUUGGAAUAAGAAGUUGACUUGACAUGAAAAGUAAAUAACAUGAAAUUAAAUAACAUAAAAGUAAAUAGAUUGUCCCUUCAUAGAGAGAAGCAAAGAUUUGUAGAGGUGCCAGAGCUGAUUGUUUAAAAUAGAGAUGAAUAUAUUUUGGAUGGUGUGCUUUUCGUGUUAAUGUUACAACACAGAUUUCAAUAUCUUCAAUGCUAAUCACAUUAUUGUUGGGGAAUGUCGCAUGGGAAACAAAAAGUUUCCUACGCUAACCAAGAUCAAUCUAUGGAUAUAAAAAACUAUGAGAGGGGGAGUGCAUCUACGUACCAUUGUAGAUCUCUAAGAGGAAGCGUUGAUAAACAUGGUUCAUGUAGUCGAACGUCUUUGCGAUCCAAUCAUGAACCGUCCCACGAUCCAAUCAUGAACGUCCCGAUCAAGUGCCGAACGGACGGGGCCUCCGCGUUUAGCACACGUACAACUCGAUGAUGCCUUCACCUCCUUGAUCCAUCAGGCGAUGGUGAAGUAGUAGCUUGAGUUCCUGGUAGCCCGGCGGUGUGGUGGAGGUGAUGGUGGAUCUAUCUCGGCAGGGAUUCGCCAAGCGGUCCCGUGAGACAACGAGAGAGGAACUACGAGAAAGAAAGGAGGGCAGCGUCGUGGAUGUUUUCAAGUGCGGUUGCCCUCCCUCUCCUCUAGUAUAUAUAGGAGGGAGGGAGGAGGGGUGGCGCCCUAUGGUUUCCCCUAGGGUGGGGCGGCGGCCACCAAAGGUGGCUUGGCCUCCAAGUUAGGUGGGGCGCCGGCUUACUCUAGGCCAACCCACCUCCUUGGCCGCAUGUGCCUUAGGUGGGAGGGGUGGCCAGCCCACUAGGGGCUGGUACGCCACCUCUGACAAUCCAUGGGGCCCUCCUGGACAGGUGGACCCUCUCGAUGGACCCCCGGAACUAUUUCGGAACCUCCGUUACAAAAUUGGUAACCUUCCAGAACUCUUUCGGAACUCGAAUACCAACUUCCCAUAUAUCAAUAUUUACCUUCGGAUGAUUCUGAAGCUCCUCCUCAUGUCCGGGAUCUCAUCCAGGACUUCGAACAACCUUUGGUCAUGAACACAAUAACUCAACUAUACUUAUGUCAUUACUGAACGUUAAGUGUGCAGACCUUGCGGGUUCGAGAACUAUGCAGACAUGACCGAGACACCUCUAUGAUCAAUAACCAAUAACGGGACCUGUAUGUCCAUAUUGGUUCCUACAUACUCUACGAAGAUCAUUGUCGGUCGAACCAUGAUGGCGAGGAUUCAGCUAAUCCCGUAUGCAGUUCCCUUUGUCCAUCGGUAUGUUACUUGUCCGAGAUUCGAUCGUCAGCAUCUCCAUACCUAGUUCAAUCUCGUUACCGGCAAGUCUAUUUACUCGUUCCGUAAUAUAAGAUCCCGUGACUAACUUCUUAGUCACAUUGCUUGCAAGCUUAUCGUGAUACUGUAUUACCGAGUGGGCCUUGAGAUACCUCUCUGUUAUAUCUUUACCUAAUAAUAAAUAGGCUAUUGCUUCCGCCGGAAAACCCACCGCUGUCGUUUUUAAAAAAGCCCAUGUCUUUUAGGUUAUUAAACCGGAACGACAUGAACCCGUCCGAUACGAUGCUCCCGCCGCAGUCGUCCCCGUCGCCGCACUCCAGGCUGUUGCCGGUCAGGUCCGAUCAGUAGACUGGCCGAUGGGCAAACUGCUACGCAUCCAUCAUAACCUUGAACUCGUCGAAGCAAACCACUCUGUCUUCAUUCAAAUCAAACCUGCGGAUCAUGGCGCGGCACUCCUCGAUGCCCUGCUCGGACCCCAGCCUGGCGAGCAUCCGCAUCAGGCUGGACCGCGUGAUGCACCCUUCGCCCUUCACCUCGUACAUCGCGAAUGCCUCCCUCAGCCCCCUGCACCACUCCUCCUCCUCCGUCUCCGGCCGCGCCACCAGCCGGAGGAACUCCUGCUCGUCCAGAAGCUGGUCUCCGUCGGCGUCGGCCGACGCCACGAGCGCCUCGGCGUCCUGCGCUGACACGUCCUCGCCCAGCGCCGCCUUCAUGCACAGCCACAGCUCCGCCGCCGAGAUCCUGCCGUCGGCGUCGCGUUCGAAUGAGGCGAACACGCUGCUGAAGCACUCGGCCGUCGCGGUGUGCACCAUCUUCAAUUGCUUGCUUCCGUGAUCACCUAAACAAUCGUGGCAGUGUGUGACCGUGUGUUAAUGUGCUGGGAGACUGGGACUACUGGAACGUUAGCUUAGCUUCUGGUUGUGGUGAUUCGUCUCAAGUGCUUAUGCAUGUAUAUAUACAGGCGGCACAAGUGUGUAGGUAGCCGGUUGUGAUGAUGGAUUCAAGGAAGAAUUAUUGAAAGAAUUGAUGAGGCCGAUGGAGGAACGGGUUGGUUGACGCCUGGACGGUGUCAAUCCGUUUUCAGCCCUCGGCGAGGACGAGAAGCGCAAAGUUGAACGAGCACAUCGGAGUAUCUAUACCUACUACUAAAAGAAAUAUGUAUUCUUAGUCCGUCUUGCUAUUUUAUAGAAAUCACUGAUGUUUCUAACAUUAAACCCAUAGUAUAUAUUAAACGUUUUUAAAAAUACUCAUAUCUUCUAAAUCAUAACUCCAAAUUUAACAUAUUAAAUAUGAAAUUUGAUUAGAAAAAUAUGUAGAAUAUGAAUAUAAUGUUAUUUUACAUGUUAGACAUUUAAUAAAAUUUUUAUCUAGGGUGCAAUUUUAAUAAAUAAUCCGUUAUUCGUCUUUCUUUCGUACCGGUACUUAUCCCGAUUGGGGAUGAACACGUCAACAAAAUCUGAAUUGGAGAUGAAAUUGAAGGUCACUUGCCCGUUUCUUUAUAUGUAUUAAAUCUACAUGCAAGCCGUGUUAAAAUAGAAGACCUAUGAAAUCUUGAGCUGAACUUUUGUAGGGUGUUUGUGCCGUAACUACGAACACUCAGAUUAUAGACCAUUUUUAUAAAUUAAGAGCACAUGGUUUUUCUCCUGUUGCAACGCACGAACCCUUUUGCUAAUAUUUCUCUCCCUAAUAAUAAAGCGCCGACUGCUUUUGUCGUCCGUCGUGCCACUUUUACAAAAAAAGCCCCUGACGUUUUCUGAAAUCAAACCGUAGUCCGGAUUUAAGUCAGAAAAUGAAUCUUUUUUUGCAUUUUUCCGAAAACCCCCUGAUGUUUCACGUAAUCAACCCUCACUCCGUAUUUAAGUCAACCGAAACGUUUUUUCGUUUUAACAAAAAAAAUCCUGACUUUUCAGUUAAUCGAUCCAAAUUUUAUCUAAAACAAAAUUAUCCAUAUCUUUUAAACCGUAACUCCGAUUUUAACAUGUUAUAUAUAAAACUUGAUUAAAAAAUAUGUAGAAUUUAAAUAGGAUGUUAUUUUUAGCUGUUGAAUACUUCUUAAAUAUUAUUUUUGAUGCAAACUUGAUAUGUAUUGCACGACCCUUUUUUUCUCUCUUUCCGGCGACGAUACGAAUUACAAUAAACAUCCAUUAAACUAAAAUCAAAUUGAGAGGAAAGAAAACAUCGUUAACUACAUAUGCACACCUUUGGAAAACCUCGUGGGGAGAAACAACAUAUUUCUCGUCUUAUUCCGAGUGACUGUACAUUCAAACGCGUUUUUGUUGUGUGAGCACUAAGGCCAUUGUCGAAAACACAAAUGUGAUGCCAUGUUAAAAUAUAUUGUGUUCAGUGCGUUUGUUAUUUUCUCUUCCGUUGCAACGCACGGGCUCUUUUGCUAGUGGAGUGACAAAUCCUAGUCUUAAUCCAUGCCAACUAAACAGACACCCUCAUAGAUACUUAUAGAGCAUCUUUAUAAUCACCCAGUUACGUUGUGACAUUUGAUAUACACAGGAGACGAUGCUGGAGGAGGAAGAGACGGUUCUUCCCUUCGUAUUAAGACCUGCUGAAGGAGGAAGAGACAGGGCUAGAUCGUGUAAUGCCGGUGGCGUGGUGGCAUGACUGGCGGGGUCGGAGAGGGAAGUGCUCGGGUGACGGCGGAGAGAGGAAGGAGGCAGAUGUGCUAGGGCUGGGGGCGCCGGCCGGCUUAAAUAGCCGGUCCCGACUUUGGAGCGGCGCCACCUGGCACCACGCGGAGUUCGCACCACGUCGACGGUCGAAGCGCUCGUCGGACCGUCGGGUUUCCCGACGAGUCCACCUGGGGCCAAGCCGUCAGGCCGACCUGGCGGGUGUGCCCGGAUGCGACCGGUCUCUUUCAUAUCCGCCCCAUAUUUGGGCUGGAAAUGAGGGAUGCCGGUCAGCCCAAACGUUUGAGAUCGAUUUAAAAAGCCCGUCUGAAUCAAAAUUUUGUGACCGACAGUGAUCAGUUAACCUACCCAAAUGUUUGAAAAAGGUUUGAGCGGUCCAGACGUAGAUGCUUCAAGCCAUGGAGCACAUGAUAUUUUUUCGGCCAAAUGGCUGGAGAUGCUCUUAAAUCUGUUAGAGUAAAACGAGAGCCAAGCCAUACAUAUUUUGCAAUGCUUUAGGAUAAAGCAAUUAUGUCAGAAUGAUAAGUGGAAAUAUCCAUUAAAAUCCAUUUAUAUGACUUCCAUGUGAAGGCUAUUCCAGCAAAUUCAGUCAUUGAUAUGGCGUCGUUGGGAUCAAAUAAAGAGCCAAUAUCAUUACAUCAUAUCAUGGUCAUAUCUUCUAUUUCUUGAUGGAAAUAUCCAAGAUUUACUGUAAUCUUCAGAUAUAAGAUGAUAGUACUUAUAUCAACCAUAUACCUUUUGUUUGAGGUUGCACUCCGAAUAAAGAUAGCAAAUAUAGUGUCAGGUCUGACGUAGUUUGCAAGUAUAUGAGUGCUUUGGCAUUAGUGAAAUAUAGAACUUCAGGUCCUAGUAUCACUUCAUUAUCACCCCUAGGUAUGAAUGGAUUUGUACCUUAUCAAAGGUAGUAUGACCAUACAUGUCUUUUGUUGAUAUGAUAUAUCCAAAUUGAACUUCUCGUAUAUGUUUGGAUAUAUGUAGGCUGAUAUGUAUUCUUGAGAGAAUGCUCAAGUUGUAAACUUAAGCUAAAUUUGGUUGAAUCCAAAUUUUCCGUCUUGAGAUGAUUUUAUGUAUGUUUAGGUCUUGUAGAGACAUUGAUGAUGAAAUCAUCAUAUAAACUGAGGUGAUGUAAGGAAAUAAAAUUUUGGUAUUCCUUUAUUAACACAUAAACAAUCAUCAUCCUUUGAGUAAUCCUCUGAAGAAGGAACUCGUCUAGUCAGUAGUACCAUAUGAUUCACGACUAUUUCUAGUCAUAGAGUGACUUUUGAAAUUUUACACAAAUAUGUUGCGAUUUAUUUUGGAUUCGAAAUUGUAAGCCCUUCAGGGGCUUUAAUAUAUAUUUCUGAAAUGAGUGACUCAUAUGAGUAUGUAGUCACUUCAUCCAUCAACUGCGUGGAUAAUAUUAUUUGUACUGUCAAUGGUAUUUAUUAUCGAAACAUAGUUCCACUCAUACCAAGAAGGUAUGUUACAUCAUAAUUUGAUGUCAGGUCUCUACGUGAACCCUUUUGCUACAAGCCUCGCUUUCUCACCAUCUCAUUGACUUUGUUUAUGAAUGAGAAGUUUUUAGUAUUCCAUAUGGAAGAUAUUAUGAGGAGUAGGUAUUAGUGUGGUAAAUACCACUCGUUUGUAGAGCGAGUGCUAUUCUUCAUUACUUGCUUCCUUUUAUGUGAACCAAUAUGAGUACAAGAGGCACUCUACCAUGGAUUUUGGUUCAGGGCCCAAAAGAUUUUAGCAAUUUUCAGAAGAAAUAUAUGUCGACAAAUGUAGACUUAUGUUAUAUGAUUCUGGAGGAAUCAAUGAAAUUUGUGGAAAUGUAUUUAUUCCUUUUAACUCCUUGUGAUUUCCUACAACAAUGGAGUCAAGGUGUUUCGAUGUCCCGACACAAAAACAUUUGUGCACAUUUAUGUCGGGCUUUGGAUGAUGAGCAUCCAGUGAGGUGUCUUUCAACUUGAUGUUGAAUUACAUUUACUGGUUGAGGAUUUGAUUUCCUCUAUUUCCGCGGAAGCAUAUGCGAGAUUAUAUCUCGUGUGGUCAGAUUUCUCCCCCUCUUGCUCUCAUUUCGGGAGAAGAGUGGUUUAUCAGGUACCUUCACUCUUUCUGACACUUUACUGCAGGAAUAUAAAAUUGAGUGACACCUUUGUCAUCAGUAAAUGUAUGUGGCAGAUUUGCAAUGUCUUGCAAAUAUGUGAUUCUAAACUUCUUGUUCAGAUUCUUUGAGUACGUGGAUAUAAGGACUGAAUGUGAAUAACAUUCCUAAUUUAUUUCUUGACAUUCUUUGUGGUACUUAUCUCCCCCUAAUGCCAGAAAUGUCCUUAUUGCUGAUGCAAUCAGCAUACGGGCUAUGAAUAAUUUUGAUUGACGAAUAAAUUGUCAUUCCUCACUUAGAUCCCUAAUUUUCUGUGAGAGCCCAUUGAUGUAUGCUGGAGUGGUGAUAUUGGUAUGUAACCGAAUUAUCGCAGAUAGGAAAUACUUUGUUGAUUUCCACGUAAUUACUAAAAGGGGAAAGUAGUAUGAUAUACAGUUGGUAUGAUUUAUAUCAUACUUACGGUGUGUAAUGCCGUAUUUGUCUAGCAUGAGGCUAGUAAAUCAUGAUUCUAUAAGUUUGGUCAUAUUAUUAAUUUCACUAUCUUUGAUAAGAUAUUGAACUAAACCAUUUUGGGUAUGUACAUAAAGUAUUAUAUAUAAUCAGAUAUUUCUUGUGAAAUGAGUUCAACAAAGUUGUCCAUUCGAAUGGAUUUAUCCCUUGUUUAGGAUAACUUGCUCUUACUUUGAGAAUUUGAGCAAUUGAUUUAGUUAUAUCAUUCAUGGUUUGUGUGACAAGAGACACACUAGAAAUCAUUUUAUAAAUGUUUCCAUGAGUACCAUAAAGUAUCUAUAAAAUACCACACAAUGGUUGAGAAUGCACAUAUCUUCUGAAUGUGUUCAAGGAAGAAUGAGUUGGCUCAUUUAGAAUUGUAAGGUGAGAGUUCCUUAAAUUAAUUUCCCUUAUGUCACAUGUGGUGCACAUAAAAUCUGAUGAUUUGGGAAAUUUUGCAACUUGUUAAGUUGUGACCAAUAGAAUUGUCAAUAAUUUUCUAAACAACCCCAAACCUGGAUUGUAAGGCUUAAAACCAAAUAUUUUAUAAGAUUUAGAAAAUUAUUGUGUACGCAACAAAACUGAGUAUGAAUUGAUUCAUACAUGCAAAAAUUAUCAAAUAUAUUGUCCAAGAAAUAGGAUAUUGGACAUUUAUACUACAUGUAGUAGUACGACUAUAGGCAAACAAUAUUUUGGGAAUAAUCGGGAUAUUACAUGAGGUCUCCCAUAUUACGAAAAAAUGAGCUAUGCAAACAUAUCAUAGGAACAAACGAAGUGAUCAUUCUUUUAUUGCACUAUAUUUUUGGUCCUCCUUCUGAUGAAGAUUCGAGAACAUCAUUUACCAGAAUAGUUUCUGGUCGUAUGUUUGCAAAUUUUCAAAUACCACAAUGAACUUAUUUGCCUUUUAAUAAACUCAUGGUGUGGUUUGACCAUAUGUUUGAGGGUUUGGUAAUCAUAGGUACGAUAUUCAUGUAACCACACAUUUGACAAACUUGAGAGUUGUCUUUGUAAUCUUUUUAAAAUGAUCAAUUACUAAUUAAAAGGUAAUUAUGUCAUUGGUUGUCUUUAUCCUCCACUUUACUUUGAAUGCCUCAUUGUUCUAUUUUGUGACCACUGUCAUGCAUAGUAUUCUCAAUGCUAGCAAAUAUUUGAAGCACCCGUUGGGUGAAUAUGAUGAGUUUAAGAAAUAACAUGUUUCUUUACCAUGAAAAUGGUAAUACCAUCAUAAGGAGAUGUAAAGUGUAUCAAGGGCUUUUCAACCUGAUCUGCAUAUGAAAAUGUUAGAUCAUGAGAUCUCAACUUCAAGUUGAUUUUAUAAUUACCAAAAUUGUAAGUUGCGAUAGACUUGAGGUCUUGAAAAAUUAUUGGGUGAUCAUUCCAAAUGUGCUCGGGGCAGCAUGUUUCUCUUAAGGGAAAUGUUCAAGGUGAAUAAAUAUUCAUCCAUUAUGUACUUAGUUUGAGAACUAAGUGAAGUUGGUGAGAGAUGAAAUACAUAUGAUCAUACUUAGCUAUUAAGAGAAUAGCCCUUGAUAUGUACUUACUGUAUUUGGAAAUGUAUUUGGACAUAUUACGACUGAUGUCGUAAAUCAUCUUACAAUAAAUAAUCUCACCUAACAUGUACUUACUGUAUUUGGAAAUGUGAGCCAUGCGUUACUUGAAAAUGCUAAUGCAUUUAUUUAGUUUACUUCUAGGAGUAAGUGGCAUCUAUAAAUAAAUGAUUUGUUUGAGAACAAUCAUGGUCAAGGUGAUCCUUAGUGAACCUGGGUGUAUCCUUCAAUAUAACACAUGUGAUUAAAUUAUUGCUAAUGUUUUGGACUUCAUUCUUGAGGAAGUGUGUGACUUUAGAGUCACUGCCAAAACGUAUAGACUUGCAUGCUUAACAUUGGUUAGUCACUAUGAAAUUAUAACCACGAUGUCCUGUGGACCUUGUGAAAGUGUUGAGACACUUAAUCAUUGUCAUAAAUUAUGUGGUCCAUUAUGAUGGAUGGACGACACUAUAAUUAGAAAUAUUGUCGUAGGCUUCAUUGCCAUGUAUUUUACCAAUGUAAUAGAAGGUAAUCACAAGUAAAUGCAAAUAUUUAUGUAGUUCCCUAUGACAUAUUCAAGCAAAAAGAGGCUUGAAUAAUUGAUAUUGGUAUAUAAUACCAUUCAACAUGCAAUAAUCAUGCAUGAAUUUACUAUGAUAGUAAAUCAUUUUAGUGAACAACAACAAUUGCUUUAGAGGAGCAAAUUUUAGUACGGCUGAUGCCAUAUAGCCAUAUGUGUAGACCUUAAUUUAUAUAGGAUAACACUUUAAAGAUAAUCACUAAUAUGGUGUAGAUCUCGUAGUAAUAGAAAACAUAGUCUGACUAUUGUUAGUGGAUGUUUAUAAUUCGAUUACCUUAUGUUAUGCUAAAUGUAUGAAAUCACUUUGAAGGCAAUCAUUUGUCAAAGUGACAUGAUGUAGACCUUGCAGUAAUAGUGGAUAGUCUGUAAAUUUUUUUUACAGUAGAUGCCAAUAUUACCUUAUGAUAUCUGGAGGUAGUUACAUAUUAAUAUUUGGAAGGGCACUUUGAAGGUAAUCAUCUUGUAAAACACAAGAUGUAUACCUCAUAGUAGUGAUGAAUAAUCUAUGAAUUGUGCAGUAGAUGUCAUCAGUACCUUGUAAUUUGCAAAUAAAAUUUGACUAUAUACAAAUUAAUAUUUGGAAGAACACGUUGAAGAUAGUCAUCUUGCCAAAAUGUCAAAAUGUAGAUCUUACAGUACUGAUGGAUAAUAUCCAAACUUAAUGUAUAGUCGUUCUAAAUUGUUAUUUACAAUGAUUGCUGAGGCAAACAUGUAGAAUAUGGCACAAUAUCGCCUCUAGUAUGCAGUAUUCUGUAAUUUGAUGAAAUUGCAAUGUAUGAAUACUUGAACAGUAAUAAUAUGCUUAGAGGGUCUAAGUCGCAUAGUUACAAUUAGCCUGAGGGCUUCUAUGCAAGUAGUACUAAGGCUCAAUGCCUAAUUUGUCAAUAAAAGAGCGUACAAGUGCUAGAUUGUUAAAUGGUCGAAGAGAUAAGGUCUUCUGUUAGAUUCUGCGUACAGCCAUGAAUCCAUCGAUUGGGUUUGCUUUGCCUGUACACAGUCACGACAUCAUCGUCGUGAGGAAUUAGAGGUCAAGGCCGCGUUACCAAUCGAAGGUCGUUGUCCUGCGCCGUGGGAGUGCCUCCACACCAUGGGACGGAUGUUGGCCGCUGCCGUCUCUACCGGCCGUCGCGCCGUGAGUGGGCGUGGUCGUUGGCCACCACUUCCUUCGGCUGCCAUUACCAAUUUUGUAGGGAGGAGACAUGGGGUGUCGUCCCAAAGUUGAGGACGACCGCGCCGAGCAAAUGGCCGCCAGCGUGCCAGCGUCGAGGCUGAUGGCCGCGGGCGUCCCGAAGGGGAUGGGCGUGCAGGGCGCGCCGGUCUUUCCCUUCUCAUACACGGAUUGCGAGGGGAAAGGGAAGAGGAGGGCACGGACACUGAUGCCCCACUGUGCUCUGCGUACCUCCCCGUCGCACCAGAAGGCAUCGUCGCGUCGUGCGCCGAAUGUCGUCCGCUGCGCCUAGCGCCGCCCACUAUAGGGCGCGGCACCGGAAGGGCGGCCGCCGCUCGUCUUGGAGGGGCUCGCCGCGUCGCGGGCCGGGCGAUGUUGUCGUUGCUGCCUCUUUGUCUUGCGCCUCGUAACAUGUCUCCGCACCAGUUGAGACUGCGCUGUCGGCCGAGGGUUCGCCGCUCGCCUGUCCGCCAGGAGGGACAACGAGGAGUCGAGGGCCGUCGGCCUGCUUGCCACGCACCACGCCGCACUCGCCUCUCUGAACCCUGUGCUGGUCGUUGUCUGCCUUCGCGUCCUUACGGAUGUCGAGCAAGCCGCACGACGAUCGUUUUUUGCUCACGCUGCGCCUGAGGGCGUCGUCGGUCGAGCCACCGUUGGUGGUCGAGGCCGCGCGUCGGCAGGGGUGUUGCGUACUGGCUGACCGCGGGUUUGUGCCGCUUCCACGACGAGGCCGGGCGCCAUGGCUGCGUCGUGCCCCUUAGGAGUCGCCUUCCGUUGUGGGCUGGUACAGCGCGGGUGAUGCGUUGACGUGCGUGAGCGCCUCCGCCUUCUCACAGUUCUUAUAGCAUGAUGCAUCCAUUCUUCAUGUGCAUAUGCUAGAUUCGAUGAAGUGAUUCUCUGUCCUGAUUGAAUUCAGGUACUAGUACAUGCAUGCUCCAUCUGGGGCCUCUUUUCUUGUGCGCAUCUCGCCACUCCGCCUGGCCGCAGCGAGUGCGCGAGCGCCCUCGUCGCAGCAGCUUUCUGAUGUCUCGGCACCAUGGAUCCUGAUGCCCAUGACGUGGAGCAAGCAGAUGGGAACGACGAUCCUUCGGUGAGCGUCACGAUCGUAACCGCUUCUUCACGUUGUUUCAGCGUUUUUCUUACUAAUGAAGUUCGCCGUAGUUGCUGCCUCGAUCCGUAUCUCGUGCUCUCUGGAUAGAGCGUGCUGAUAACGUGUUAGAGUAAAACAAGAUUGAAAGAAAGUGAAUGGACCAUUAGACCUGUUUGUAUUGAUUCUCAAGUAUAUGUACAUCUGAAAGAGGUGCGAAAAAAAAAUGCCUGUUCGGAGGCAUCCCUCCAGAACAGGUGCGGCAAUAUAGAGAGAGAGGAGACACGACUGUUCGGGGUUGGACAUAUCCCUUGAAUUAAUCUACUAAUUAAUUUCUAACAAAAUCAACGAACAAAAAUCGUAAACAAAUCGAAGGAGGUUCUACGCGUCGGAUCGCUGUGGCCCCCUUGGGUUGGGGUUGGGGGCGCUGCUCUUCCGGUCCGGUCUCUCUCUCUCCCUCCCUCGCGUCGCCCACCACAGAGCACACGAGUCGACGCGCCCCGACAGCUCAGCUCUUUCGUCCCGUCUCGCCUCGCCUCGCCUCUCCCCCCUCCCAGUCCCUCCGGCGCGCGAGCUAGAUCGAUCGCCCCGGACCCUAGAUCCCGAUGGCCUCGCGCCGCCGCACCCUCCUCAAGGUCAUCAUCCUCGGCGACAGCGGGUGAGCACUUCGGAUCUCCCUCCCCCGUUUCGCGCGGCUCUGUUUCCUUCCCCUCCCCCUCUCGGUUCCUCGCUGACUUCCUCUCUUCGUCUCCUGUGAUCUAGGGUUGGGAAGACUUCCUUGAUGAACCAGUAUCCUGAAAUUCGUCUUCAGAUUAUAUUAGUAUAAGUAGUCCCGUCGAGUUAGCUGUUUCGUUCAUGAGAGAUUGAUUUUUCUUUUUCUCCUGGAGUGGUUGUUUUGGCUUGUGUUUCCUUUAGUUUUGAUUUAAUUCAGAUAUGUGAACAAGAAGUUCAGCAACCAGUACAAGGCCACGAUUGGCGCCGAUUUCCUCACCAAGGAGGUGCAGUUCGAGGACAGGCUCUUCACUCUGCAAGUAAGAUUUGUUUACUUCCCUGGUCUGUAGCUCAUGCGGGUACUCGUGUGAUCUGGCAUGACCGUCAUUAGUUGUUGAACUGCUCCUCUCUGAUGUGCAAGUACAUGGUAGCAAAUGUUUGCCGUUGAUCGACUCUUGUGUAGAUAAUCACAGUGUUGAUGCUGCAUGAUUGGUUCAGUCCGUGCAUGAUCUGCAGUCCUGCUUAGUUUAGUGCUUUCAGCAGUGAAGAUUAUUGUGCAUCAUUGGGUACAGCAUGGCUGGAAUUAUUGGUUUAUCUAUACUUAUGUAGAUGUAUAUGCGUUGGAGUGGAAUUUGUAUGAACAUCAUGAGGAUACAUCCUAGAAUGGUGUAAUAAUAGUUUCAAGAGCCCUUCUUACCAUAAUCUUUGGAAUUAGCCUUGAACCUUUGACAACUAAUAGUUGUUAUCAGCUAUUGUUUUGCUUCCCUGCUCUCCACUCAUCCUACGCUAUUAGGCCCUACAAAUUAGUAAACGGUACCUUUUUCAUGUUAAUUCCAACCACUUUAAGUGCCAGACAGUUUGCUAGCGGGGACCCUUGUUUUUUAAAUGGGAUUUUGCCCCAUCCCUUCUCUUCACUCAUUCUAUGCUAUUAGCCCUACAAAGUAGCAACUGUACAUCCUUAGUGUUAAUUCCAGCAAUUCUAAAUAUCAAACCGUUUCCUAGCGGUCCUUUCUUUUACGAAUAAUUCUAUUAAAGCGGUUUUGCACCAACUCUGCUAUACUAAAUGCUAAACUGUUUACUAGCGGCUCUUUGUUUUCCCGAAUGAUUCCGCUAAAGCAAAUUGCAACUGGAUACACGAGAAAUCUGUUUCUUGAGCUGUGAUUCUGUAUAUUUUCACUAUCAUUCUAUUAUACUGCUUUUAUAUGAUGCUUAGUCAUGUAUUUUCCCUUUUAUGCGGAUUAACAUAUAUUUUUCUCUGCAGAUAUGGGAUACUGCCGGUCAGGAGAGGUUUCAAAGUCUUGGUGUUGCAUUCUACCGUGGAGCGGAUUGUUGUGUUCUAGUUUACGAUGUUAACUCCAUGAAAUCAUUUGAUAAUCUGAACAACUGGCGUGAAGAGUUUCUAAUUCAGGUGAAUUAUCCUACAUAAUUCAUUAACAGUCCAGAAUCAUGUUUUGCCUGUUUCACUUUGGGUGUUUACUUUGACAGGCUAGCCCAUCAGAUCCUGAUAACUUCCCUUUUGUUCUGCUGGGUAACAAAGUUGAUGUAGAUGGUGGGAACAGUCGCGUGGUAAUUGCCUAUAUUGCCUUUAUGCUAUGCCUUUUCUUAGUAAACAGAGAAAGUUUCUCUCCGAUGGGUUCUUAGGGAUACAUAAACUGCUUCCAUUCAGGUCUCUGAGAAAAAGGCGAAGGCAUGGUGUGCCUCUAAAGGGAACAUCCCAUACUUUGAGACUUCUGCCAAGGAUGGAAUCAACGUGGAGGAGGCUUUCCAGUGUAUAGUAAAGAACGCUCUGAAGAAUGAGCCAGAGGAAGAAUUGUAAGCACACUUUCUCUUACUCUCAAUGUUGAAUGACACUUACCGCAACUGAAUAAUUAUUUGUGACAUGUCAAGUAGGAGUAGUAAUGAAAAGGGAACACUGCUAGAGGAGUUAUAAUUCUUUUGGUUAACUUUUGCUCCUGUCAGCAUUAGUUUUUUUCAUUCUUUAACCAGAUAAAUUGUACAACCUGUUUUGCAGCACUGAUUCUUUCCCGUGGUUCAUGUUUUGAUAGUCUUGGGACCAGCAUUGAUGUUUCUUAACUUUAUUUGAUUUAGUAAAUCUUACAUAAAGGCUGGGCUCUUGCAGGUAUAUGCCGGACACUGUGGACGUGGUGGGCGGCAACCGGGGUCAAGGAUCGUCAGGAUGCUGUUAGAACAUGAGGGCCCACAACUGUGGGCUAUCCUUUGACAUUACUGUAUUUCCAUGGCGACUUAUGGACCUGUAUUUCAUUCGUGACCUUCUUCAAUCACCUCGUAAGUGCCCAGGGAAUGAUUGAUGCGUCUGUUCCGAUCUGUCAAUUUGUGGACGUUUGUGUAGUUUUAUCAUUAUCAUCAGUAGCGUCAUAUCUUGUGAAUACAGUCAGCGGAAUAAGUGAAGUGUAAACUACAGUUGCUUCGUUAUGGUUUUGUGUGAAAGAAGCUUAAAUUUGGUCUUGUACCUUGGGCCAUCCUGGACUCGCC